GGGGAAUAUUGGGCAAUGGGCGCAAGCCUGACCCAGCAACGCCGCGUGAAGGAAGAAGGCUUUCGGGUUGUAAACUUCUUUUAAGAGGGACGAAAGAAAUGACGGUACCUCUUGAAUAAGCCACGGCUAACUACGUGCCAGCAGCCGCGGUAAUACGUAGGUGGCAAGCGUUAUCCGGAUUUACUGGGUGUAAAGGGCGUGUAGGCGGGACUGCAAGUCAGAUGUGAAAACUAUGGGCUCAACUCAUAGCCUGCAUUUGAAACUGUAGUUCUUGAGUGCUGGAGAGGCAAUCGGAAUUCCGUGUGUAGCGGUGAAAUGCGUAGAUAUACGGAGGAACACCAGUGGCGAAGGCGGAUUGCUGGACAGUAACUGACGCUGAGGCGCGAAAGCGUGGGGAGCAAAC
rnacentral:rRNA from 1 species